GGGACCGAAGCGGAAAUCCUUUCUCAAUUUGAGAAAGAUUGCAGCGUAGGGCCCG
rnacentral:ncRNA from 2 species